rnacentral:rRNA from 1 species
GAUGAACGCUGGCGGCGUGCCUAAUACAUGCAAGUCGAGCGAACAGACGAGGAGCUUGCUCCUCUGACGUUAGCGGCGGACGGGUGAGUAACACGUGGAUAACCUACCUAUAAGACUGGGAUAACUUCGGGAAACCGGAGCUAAUACCGGAUAAUAUAUUGAACCGCAUGGUUCAAUAGUGAAAGACGGUUUUGCUGUCACUUAUAGAUGGAUCCGCGCCGCAUUAGCUAGUUGGUGAGGUAACGGCUUACCAAGGCAACGAUGCGUAGCCGACCUGAGAGGGUGAUCGGCCACACUGGAACUGAGACACGGUCCAGACUCCUACGGGAGGCAGCAGUAGGGAAUCUUCCGCAAUGGGCGAAAGCCUGACGGAGCAACGCCGCGUGAGUGAUGAAGGUCUUCGGAUCGUAAAACUCUGUUAUUAGGGAAGAACAAAUGUGUAAGUAACUAUGCACGUCUUGACGGUACCUAACCAGAAAGCCACGGCUAACUACGUG